GAAGAACGCUGGCGGCGUGCUUAACACAUGCAAGUCGAACGGAAAGGCCCUGCUUUUGUGGGGUGCUCGAGUGGCGAACGGGUGAGUAACACGUGAGUAACCUGCCCUUGACUUUGGGAUAACUUCAGGAAACUGGGGCUAAUACCGGAUAGGAGCUCCUGCUGCAUGGUGGGGGUUGGAAAGUUUCGGCGGUUGGGGAUGGACUCGCGGCUUAUCAGCUUGUUGGUGGGGUAGUGGCUUACCAAGGCUUUGACGGGUAGCCGGCCUGAGAGGGUGACCGGCCACAUUGGGACUGAGAUACGGCCCAGACUCCUACGGGAGGCAGCAGUGGGGAAUAUGGCACAAUGGGCGGAAGCCUGAUGCAGCAACGCCGCGUGCGGGAUGACGGCCUUCGGGUUGUAAACCGCUUUCGCCUGUGACGAAGCGUGAGUGACGGUAAUGGGUAAAGAAGCACCGGCUAACUACGUG
rnacentral:rRNA from 1 species